CAUGAUGAGACUGAAAUGAUCUUGGAUUGUAUAGAAGGUAGUCCCAGUCGCCCCCACUCAGACUCUUGCACAGUAUACUGUGCAAGAGUAAGGUGAGAAACAACUUAAGUUGGAAACUUUAAUUUUAUUAAGAGAUUAAGGAACUGG
rnacentral:ncRNA from 1 species